GACGAACGCUGGCGGCGUGCUUAAUACAUGCGAGUCGAGCGAAAAGACGAGGCUCUUGCUCCUCUGACGAUAGCGGCGGACGGGUGAGACACACGAGGAUCACCUCCCUAUAUUACUGGGAACACUACGGGAAACCGGCGCUAAUCCCGGAUAAGAUACUGAUCCGCGUGGUGCAAUGGUGAGAUACGGCUUUGCUGUCACUUAUAGCUGGAUCCGCGCCUCAUUAGCUGGUUGGUACGGUAACGGCUUACCACGGCGACCAUGCGUAGCCGACGGGAGAGGGGGGUAGGCCACACGGGAACUGAGACGCGGUCCAUGCUCCUACGGGAGGCAGCAGUAGGGAAUGUUCCGCAAUGGGCGAAAGCAUGACGGAGCAGCGCCGCGUGAGUGAUGAAGGUCUUCCGUUCGUAAUGCCCUGUUAUGAGGUAUGAACAAAUUUGUAAGUAACUAUGCACGUCGUGACGGUACCUAGUCAGAAAGCCCCGGCUAACUACGUG
rnacentral:rRNA from 1 species